GCCCCUGUGGUGUAACUUGGAUAGCACGAAAGCUUGCGGAGCUUUAAAUCCGUGUUCAAAUCACGGCGGGGGCA
rnacentral:tRNA from 1 species